rnacentral:rRNA from 1 species
CCUACGGGGGGCUGCAGUGAGGAAUAUUGGUCAAUGGACGAGAGUCUGAACCAGCCAAGUAGCGUGAAGGAUGACUGCCCUAUGGGUUGUAAACUUCUUUUAUAUGGGAAUAAAAUGUUCCACGUGUGGGAUUUUGUAUGUACCAUAUGAAUAAGGAUCGGCUAACUCCGUGCCAGCAGCCGCGGUAAUACGGAGGAUCCGAGCGUUAUCCGGAUUUAUUGGGUUUAAAGGGUGCGCAGGCGGAAGAUCAAGUCAGCGGUAAAAUUGAGAGGCUCAACCUCUUCGAGCCGUUGAAACUGGUUUUCUUGAGUGAGUGAGAAGUAUGCGGAAUGCGUGGUGUAGCGGUGAAAUGCAUAGAUAUCACGCAGAACUCCGAUUGCGAAGGCAGUUCACUGGACUGCAACUGACACUGAGGCUCGAAAGUGUGGGUAUCAAACAGGAUUAGAUACCCUUGUAGUC